AAUCAACAAUGGCAGACAAACCAGAUGUGAGUGAGAUCGCUCAGUUUGACAUGACUAAACUGAAGAAGACUGAGACUGAGGAAGAACACUCUACCUACCAAAGAGGUCAUUGACCAGGAGAAGCAGGUGGAAUCCUAAAAUGGCUGCUGUCAUUACUCACAAGCUACAUCCCAGAGGGACUGUUUCUCAAACCUGAACUCUCUGUUCUGGAAUGGAUCCUCAUGGCUGCCUAAGUCACUGACUCAAUAAAAGCCAUGUAGACUAA